rnacentral:sRNA from 1 species
AUAAUAAUAAGAGCGACCACAUAGGUCGCUCUUAAUUGGCAUUCUUAUUACACUAUUUGGUUUGGCCGCUGAUCAGUAAUAAGAGUAACUCUAGUGUUACGCAUAGCUAGCUAUUAAUGAGGUUCCUUACGCCGUUAACCAUUAAUAGUGAUUUGUAACCAGAACCUGAGCAUAUGCUUGGGUUUUUUUAU